rnacentral:rRNA from 1 species
AUUGAACGCUGGCGGAAUGCUUUACACAUGCAAGUCGAACGGCAGCACGGGGCAACCUGGUGGCGAGUGGCGAACGGGUGAGUAAUACAUCGGAACGUGCCCAGUCGUGGGGGAUAACGUAGCGAAAGUUACGCUAAUACCGCAUACGAUCUAAGGAUGAAAGCGGGGGAUCGCAAGACCUCGCGCGAUUGGAGCGGCCGAUGUCAGAUUAGGUAGGUGGUGGGGGAAAGGCCCACCAAGCGGACGAUCUGUAGCUGGUCUGAGAGGACGACCAGCCACACUGGGACUGGGACACGGCCCAGACUCCUCCGGGAGGCAGCAGUGGGGAAUUUUGGACAAUGGGCGCAAGCCUGAUCCAGCCAUUCCGCGUGCAGGAUGAAGGCCUUCGGGUUGUAAACUGCUUUUGUACGGAGCGAAAAGGCUCUCUCUAAUACAGGGGGCUCAUGACGGUACCGUAAGAAUAAGCACCGGCUAACUACGUGCCAGCAGCCGCGGUAA